AUGCUGGAAUUCUGACAGAGAUGAUCUCGCUAAUACGCUACGAGGAAUACAAUUUCAUUUGGACCUUCUUAAAAGUCAAAAUUUGGUAAGCGACGAUUGGAAAGACAUUGAUCUUACUGAAUGGAAGAUCACAGAACAAUUACAAAAGGCAAUUCAAAAAGAUAGUUCUUCAUGUGGUUUAUUUAUGGUUAAAUUUAUGGAAUAUUUCACCGGAUAUGCACUAUCCUACCCAAUUACACAGGAAAUGAUUACUUCUUUCAGGUUUAAGUUAGCUAGCAUACUAUUAUGUUGGAAAACAAACACUGCAGCAAUGACUACAAUCGUUGAAGAAAGUGAGGAUGACACCAAGGGAGAUCCUGAUGAUGUUCAAAUAUUGGAAAGUUUAGAUAAUUUUAAAAAAACAAAACAAAAAUUACCAUUAUCUGUUGAAAAUAAAUACAGAUCACUAAUAUCAGUUCUUUCUAAUAUGACCUUACAUGAGUUAACAGCUAGACUCUGUAGCUUCAUUAAAUCAAUCAAUUACACCGAGAUUUUAGAGUAAGUCAUUUUAAAUUAGUAUUGCAAUUGUAAAGUAUGUUACUUGUUUUCUUAAUGGUUUAUUUUCUUACUUUGUAUCAUGAUCAGGAAAGUAUGGAUCCAUAGUUCAAAACCAUAUCCAAUUAGCUUGUCUCUAAAAAAACUACAAGGAAUGCUAAAGGAUUAUUUACCCAUGGACCGAGAUUGCUUUAAUUUGAUCGUACGGAAGAUUAUGUUGGAUGACAUCCAAACGACACAAAAAAAAGCAAUUGAUAGCAAAGCAUUAUCUGCACAUGAAAUUUUGGGUAUGUUUUUAUAUUCAUUAUAUACUUUUUUAUAUAAUGAUUUUUUAUCAUUUUAACCAAUUAUUUUAUAUAUUAGAUGACUACUGAUUAUGGAAGGCACCCAGAUUACCAUAAAAAGUUAGAUGUGGAGCAACUAGCAAAUUCUAUUCGUAGUUGGUCUGGUAUCAAUAUUUCAACAUUUAAAUCGGUACGAGCACUUUUAUAUACUUUAUAGCAAAAAAAAUAUUGCAUCUAAUAUGUAGCCUAUUUCAUAUCCAUAUUCCAGUACAAACCAUGGAUGAAUUCAUUCUAUUCACAUUGGACCAAGAUACCAGAACAGUGUACAUUUUGGACCCUACUCCUAUUAAUCCAAUGUACCGAUACAACCCACUCGCAAAAUAUAUGAAAAAAAUUAUAUGGAUUUCCGAACACUUACAAAAAGCAAUGUCAAAAGCAUGC